GAAAGUGCACAUAGUGAUAGAUAGCCCAUCGUUCCUGCUAGCUACACUAUUUACACUUUUAAC
rnacentral:pre_miRNA from 1 species